AUGACGUGUAGCAUGCCCGUUGUGGGAUUACUCUGAUGUUUAUAUGCUAUUUUAUUGCUUUUGGGUAACGGGGUGUUACAACGGUCG
rfam:Medicago truncatula strain A17 chromosome 3, whole genome shotgun sequence.